GAGUUUGAUCCUGGCUCAGAUUGAACGCUGGCGGCAUGCCUUACACAUGCAAGUCGAACGGCAGCACGGGAGCUUGCUCCUGGUGGCGAGUGGCGAACGGGUGAGUAAUGCAUCGGAACGUAUCCUGGAGUGGGGGAUAACGUAGCGAAAGUUACGCUAAUACCGCAUAUUCUGUGAGCAGGAAAGCGGGGGACCUUCGGGCCUCGCGCUCUUGGAGCGGCCGAUGUCGGAUUAGCUAGUUGGUGAGGUAAAGGCUCACCAAGGCGACGAUCCGUAGCAGGUCUGAGAGGGUGAUCUGCCACACUGGAGCUGAGACACGGUCCAGACUCCUACGGGAGGCAGCAGUGGGAAUUUUGGACAAUGGGGGCAACCCUGAUCCAGCCAUGCCGCGUGAGUGAAGAAGGCCU
rnacentral:rRNA from 1 species